UAAAUCAGGACUAAACCAGGUCUAAACCAGGACUAUAUCAGGUCUAAACAAGGUCUAAAUCAGGACUAAACCAGGUCUAAACCAGGUCUAAACCAGGACUAUAUCAGGUCUAAACAAGGUCUAAACCAGGACUAUAUCAGGUCUAAACCAGGUCUAAACCAGGUCUAAACUAGGACUAUACCAGGUCUAAACCAGGUCUAAACCAGGCCUAAACCAGGCCUAAACCAGGACUAUAUCAGGUCUAAACCAGAUCUAAACCAGGUCUAAACCAGGACUAUAUCAGGUCUAAACCAGGACUAUAUCAGGUCUAAACCAGGUCUAAACCAGGACUAUAUCAGGUCUAAACCAGGUCUAAACCAGUACUAUAAGUAGUUUAAACAUAUUGCACCUCAUAGUUUCGAUCCUGAGAGCAGAAUGUCAGAUGUGCUUCCUCUCAUUAGCAGUACAAACCCACUCACUCACACUAUCCCCUUAUUGUCAGUGCAGUUUAAUACCAGAGGAGCUGACGGACCUCCAGGCCAAAGCAUCGAUCGCCUCCUUGCAUCCCUCCUCUGUCUUCUGUGUAAAUCGCUUCUAUCCCUUUAGAUCCUUUACAUUCACAUAACUGCAGGGUGAAAGCUGAUUCCUGCACUGAUGCUUGGCUUUCUCUGCUCCUGUGGGGUAAAGCUACAAUCAGAGUAUAAUGUAUUCAACUGGCAACAUCACUGUAACUACAAGCUAUCAACAUGUACUUGGUGCCUUCCACAAUGUAGUCCGGGGAUAAAUGCUUUAUUCUAGGGCUGGGCGAUAUGUCCAAAAAGUCCAAAUCAAACCAAAAUGUUUCCCCUCGUAUUGAAAAGUCAUAAAUAAGCUAAACAUUCAUGACCAU